CACGUAGGGGCCAAGCGUUGUCCGGAUUCAUUGGGCGUAAAGAGCUCGUAGGCGGUUCAGUUAGUCGGGUGUGAAAUCUCCGGGCUCAACCCGGAGGGGCCACCCGAUACUGCUGUGACUUGAGUCCGGUAGGGGAGUGGGGAAUUCCUGGUGUAGCGGUGAAAUGCGCAGAUAUCAGGAGGAACACCGGUGGCGAAGGCGGGUCUCUGGGCCGAUACUGACGCUGAGGAGCGAAAGCGUGGGGAGCGAACAGG
rnacentral:rRNA from 1 species